rnacentral:rRNA from 1 species
AGAGUUUGAUCCUGGCUCAGGAUGAACGCUGGCGGCGUGCUUAACACAUGCAAGUCGAACGAAGCAUUUGCGACAGAUUUUUUCGGAAUGAAGUUGCUUAUGACUGAGUGGCGGACGGGUGAGUAACGCGUGGGUAACCUGCCUUGUACUGGGGGAUAGCAGCUGGAAACGGCUGGUAAUACCGCAUAAGCGCACAAUGUUGCAUGACAUGGUGUGAAAAACUCCGGUGGUAUAAGAUGGACCCGCGUCUGAUUAGCUAGUUGGUGAGAUAACAGCCCACCAAGGCGACGAUCAGUAGCCGACCUGAGAGGGUGACCGGCCACAUUGGGACUGAGACACGGCCCAGACUCCUACGGGAGGCAGCAGUGGGGAAUAUUGCACAAUGGAGGAAACUCUGAUGCAGCGACGCCGCGUGAGUGAAGAAGUAAUUCGUUAUGUAAAGCUCUAUCAGCAGGGAAGAUAGUGACGGUACCUGACUAAGAAGCUCCGGCUAAAUACGUGCCAGCAGCCGCGGUAAUACGUAUGGAGCAAGCGUUAUCCGGAUUUACUGGGUGUAAAGGGAGUGUAGGUGGCCAUGCAAGUCAGAAGUGAAAAUCCGGGGCUCAACCCCGGAACUGCUUUUGAAACUGUAAGGCUAGAGUGCAGGAGGGGUGAGUGGAAUUCCUAGUGUAGCGGUGAAAUGCGUAGAUAUUAGGAGGAACACCAGUGGCGAAGGCGGCUUACUGGACUGUAACUGACGUUGAGGCUCGAAAGCGUGGGGAGCAAACAGGAUUAGAUACCCUGGUAGUCCACGCCGUAAACG